AAGCGUGUGGUGUAGCGGUUUGAUCAUUCGACUAGGACUCAGGAGACCAGGGUUCGAAUCCCCAUUUGGCUC